GCCUCAGCUUUUGUUGGGGUGCUCGAGUGGCGAACGGGUGAGUAAUACGUGGGUGAUCUGCCCUGCACUUUGGGAUAAGCUUGGGAAACUGGGUCUAAUACCGAAUAGGACCAUAGCGUGGUUGUUGUGGUGGAAAGCUUUUGCGGUGUGGGAUGAGCUUGCGGCCUAUCAGCUUGUUGGUGGGGUAAUGGCCUACCAAGGCGGCGACGGGUAGCCGGCCUGAGAGGGUGUACGGCCACAUUGGGACUGAGAUACGGCCCAGACUCUUACGGGAGGCAGCAGUGGGGAAUUUUGCACAAUGGGCGCAAGCCUGAUGCAGCGACGCCGCGUGGGGGAUGACGGCCUUCGGGUUGUAAACUCCUUUCGCUAGGGACGAAGCUUGCUCUUUUUGGGGCAGGUGACGGUACUUGGAUAAGAAGCACCGGCUAACUACGUGCCAGCAGCCGCGGUAAUACGUAGGGUGCGAGCGUUGUCCGGAAUUACUGGGCGUAAAGGGCUCGUAGGUGGUUUGUCGCGUCGUCUGUGUAAUCCCGGGGCUUAACUUCGGGCGUGCAGGCGAUACGGGCAUAACUUGAGUGCUGUAGGGGAGACUGGAAUUCCUGGUGUAGCGGUGAAAUGCGCAGAUAUCAGGAGGAACACCGAUGGCGAAGGCAGGUCUCUGGGCAGUUACUGACGCUGAGGAGCGAAAGCAUGGGUAGCGAACAGGAUUAGAUACCCUGGUAGUCCAUGCUGUAAACGGUGGGCGCUAGGUGUAGGGGGCUUCCACGUUCUCUGUGCCGUAGCU
rnacentral:rRNA from 1 species